GAUGAACGCUAGCUACAGGCUUAACACAUGCAAGUCGAGGGACCGGCGCACGGGUGAGUAACACGUAUCCAACCUGCCCUUUACUCGGGGAUAGCCUUUAGAAAGAAAGAUUAAUACCCGAUAUGAAGUAUGGGGAUGCGUUCAAUUAGGUUGUUGGUGAGGUAACGGCCCACCAAGCCUUCGAUGGUUAGGGGUUCUGAGAGGAAGGUCCCCCACAGUGGAACUGAGACACGGUCCAAACUCCUACGGGACGCAGCAAUGAGGAAUAGUGGUCAAUGGGCGUUAGCCUGAACCAGCCAAGUAGCGUGAAGGAUGAAGGCUUAUGGGUCGUAAACUUCUUUUAUAUAAGAAUAUGUAUUAUAUGAAUAAGGAUCGGCUAACUCCGUGCCAGCAGCCGCGGUAAUUC
rnacentral:rRNA from 1 species